rnacentral:rRNA from 1 species
GAUGAACGCUGGCGGCAUGCCUAACACAUGCAAGUCGAACGGACUUAGAUGAAACCUAGUGAUUCUAAGUUAGUGGCGGACGGGUGAGUAACGCGUGGGUAACCUGCCUCACACUGGGGGAUAACAGUUAGAAAUGACUGCUAAUACCGCAUAAGUGCACAGGAUCGCAUGGUCUAGUGUAAAAAACUCCGGUGGUGUGAGAUGGACCCGCGUCUGAUUAGCUAGUUGGUGAGGUAACGGCCCACCAAGGCGACGAUCAGUAGCCGGCCUGAGAGGGUGAACGGCCACAUUGGGACUGAGACACGGCCCAAACUCCUACGGGAGGCAGCAGUGGGGAAUAUUGCACAAUGGGGGAAACCCUGAUGCAGCAAUGCCGCGUGAGUGAAGAAGUAUUUCGGUAUGUAAAAGCUCUAUCAGCAGGG